CGAACGGGUGAGUAAUAUAUCGGAACGUACCGAGUAAUGGGGGAUAACUAAUCGAAAGAUUAGCUAAUACCGCAUAUUCUCUGAGGAGGAAAGCAGGGGACCUUCGGGCCUUGCGUUAUUCGAGCGGCCGAUAUCUGAUUAGCUAGUUGGUGGGGUAAAGGCCUACCAAGGCGACGAUCAGUAGCGGGUCUGAGAGGAUGAUCCGCCACACUGGGACUGAGACACGGCCCAG
rnacentral:rRNA from 2 species